ACUAAAAAAAAGCCUAUCGUCUUGCCGAUUUGCUCCCACUCGGCCGCUGGAACGCACCUGCGCCCUACGCCUCCAUCCGCCCUCCAUCGCCUCCACCGCAGGCCAUAGAGCCCGUCGUCCGCCGCACCUAGCGCCUUCGGCUCCGGUCACAGGCCCCGCCGGACCGCCCGCAGGCUGCAGCGCCGCGCCGCCGGCCGCCGCAGCAGUCCCGCGCGGUCGCGCAGUUCUGGUCGUCUGGUCUGGCCUGAUGCCCGUAGCGCUGCGUGCCCGCCUGAGACCCUGAGUAGGACUGUAGGAGACUAGGAGGUAGUAGCAAGCAGCAGCGUGCUCCGCGGCUCCGCACUCCGCUGGUCUGCUUGAGAUUUGAAGAGUUAUUUCGGUCAAGGUUCUAGUGGAAGUGGACCAAACACUCGUGCUAGUGGAGUUUGCAAUGAACCCGAAAUACAAGUUCAAGUUCAAGAGAAUAAUAGUGAAGAAAUUCCAAUUGUUCAAGAAGAGAAUGCACAUAUUCCAGAUGCCAAUGGUGAAGAUGUUGAUGAUUUUAUUCGAUAUAUGACAUUUGGUUGUAAAUGGAUUAUGAUCACGAUGACUUUUAAAUAAGCCUUUCCUGGAUGACGCAAUUGGACAGGAAGUAGAUGAUCAUGGUGAGGAUGCCCACGUCCUUGGCCUCCGACGCCAUCUCUCCUUCAACUCCGCAUAGUCGCCAGAUGCGGUUGCCUGCGUCGUCGAUGGCCAGUUCUUUGUACUCCCUCGAGAGGUUGCACCAAGGCUUCGUUUGCGAGCAUGCCGCACGGACGGACAACGACAAGCGCGCGGGCGGCAAUGGCGGAGGAGGACUCAACAACCCAGGUCUACGUCCCCGUCCCUGCCCCGACGCUGUUUCGUGGGGUCGGCUCACUCUGCGACGACGUGCCGCUCGCGGAGUAGGAUGCCUACCACGCGCCGCGCAUUGGCGCUGCCACCACUCCAGCCACCUGGGCUGAGUACGACGACAUAGUCUUCACCGCGGACGCAGGCUGCCGUAUGUUGGUUGUGAUCGUGAAAAAAGAUAUAUGCGGACCUAAUCAAACAUACUUCACUAACUCCAUUAAAUCUUUUGAAGCUGUAGCUGUCCAUGUUGAAUAAUUAGACAAAUUCC